rnacentral:lncRNA from 1 species
UUUCUAUCAUCCUAUAAACCAAUGUGUGCGAUCACUUGAAUCUCCCCUCUUGAAGACACCAUAAAAGUUAAUAUGUGGAUGACAAGUCUUUCAAUAAUCUUGGAAGAUCAAUGAAUUCUCUAACUUCAUUGUUAUCUCUAUUUUCUUAUGUGUUGAACUCCAUGCAAUUUUAAAUGGUCUCAAUAUUGUUCAAGUUGAAGUAUUCGAAAAGAUCAUUGAAUCAGAUUCCACUCUAGCAGUUAAUUUCACUUCUCAUGAAACUUCUCAAUUUCAUCUUUACGCAUUGCUUAUCCAACAAAUUCGUCAUCUCCACCAGCGGGAUUGGAAUGUCUCUUUUCAAUAUACUUUCAUAGAGCGUAAUGAAUGUGUCAAUUGGUUUUGCGAAGAAUGGAGCUUCCUCCAACGAUACUUUGAAAAUUUAGAAUAGUUACAUCUUUUCUGAUCAUGUGUUGUUUGUUUUUACUUUCCAUCUCAUUAAAAAAAAAAAGUGUCUAGAAAUGGAAAAACAUUGGUCUAAAUUUCUUGUGUAC